UACGUAGGGGGCGAGCGUUGUCCGGAAUCAUUGGGCGUAAAGCGCGUGUAGGCGGCCCGGUAAGUCCGCUGUGAAAGUCCAGGGCUCAACCCUGGGAUGCCGGUGGAUACUGUCGGGCUCGAGUCCGGAAGAGGAGUGUGGAAUUCCUGGUGUAGCGGUGAAAUGCGCAGAUAUCAGGAGGAACACCAAUGGCGAAGGCAGCACUCUGGGACGUGACUGACGCUGAGACGCGAAAGCGUGGGGAGCAAACAGG
rnacentral:rRNA from 1 species